rnacentral:tRNA from 1 species
GUCUUCAUGGUGUAGUGGUCAGCACGUUCGGCGCAUAUUUAAGAGGUCCGUGGUUCGAAUCCCGGCGAAGGCA